AUAGAACUAGGCUACUAUGCUAUU
rnacentral:miRNA from 1 species